rnacentral:rRNA from 1 species
GUAGGGAAUCUUCCACAAUGGACGAAAGUCUGAUGGAGCAACGCCGCGUGAGUGAAGAAGGUCUUCGGAUCGUAAAACUCUGUUGUUAGAGAAGAACGUGCAUGAUAGUAACUGAUUAUGUAAUGACGGUAUCUAACCAGAAAGCCACGGCUAACUACGUGCCAGCAGCCGCGGUAAUACGUAGGUGGCAAGCGUUGUCCGGAUUUAUUGGGCGUAAAGGGAACGCAGGCGGUUUUUUAAGUCUGAUGUGAAAGCCUUCGGCUUAACCGAAGAAUAGCAUUGGAAACUGGAAGACUUGAGUGCAGAAGAGGAGAGUGGAAUUCCAUGUGUAGCGGUGAAAUGCGUAGAUAUAUGGAGGAACACCAGUGGCGAAAGCGGCUCUCUGGUCUGUAACUGACGCUGAGGUUCGAAAGCGUGGGUAGCAAACAGGAUUAGAUACCCUUGUAGUCC